rnacentral:rRNA from 1 species
AGAGUUUGAUCCUGGCUCAGGACGAACGCUGGCGGCGUGCUUCACACAUGCAAGUCGAACGGAAAGGCCCGCUUGCGGGUACUCGAGUGGCGAACGGGUGAGUAACACGUGGGUAACCUGCCCCCAUCUCUGGGAUAACCGUUGGAAACGGCGGCUAAUACCGGAUACGACCUGCUCCUGCAUGGGAGUUGGUGGAAAGUUGUUGCGGUUGGGGAGGGGCCCGCGGCCUAUCAGCUGGUUGGUGGGGUGAUGGCCUACCAAGGCGGUGACGGGUAGCCGGCCUGAGAGGGCGGUCGGUCACAUUGGGACUGAGAUACGGCCCAGACUCCUACGGGAGGCAGCAGUGGGGAAUUUUGCACAAUGGGCGCAAGCCUGAUGCAGCGACGCCGCGUGAGGGAUGACGGCUUUCGGGUUGUAAACCUCUUUUAUCCACCACGAAGGCUCCGUAUUCGCGGGGUUGACGGUAGUGGUUGAAUAAGCGCCGGCUAACUACGUGCCAGCAGCCGCGGUAAGACGUAGGGCGCGAGCGUUGUCCGGAUUUAUUGGGCGUAAAGGGCUCGUAGGCGGUUGAUUGCGUCCGCCGUGAAAGGCCUCGGCUUAACCGGGGUUUUGCGGUGGAUACGGGUCGACUUGAGGCAAUUAGGGGAGAUCGGAAUUCUACGUGUAGCGGAAAUGCGCAGAUAUGUGGAGGAACACCGGUGGCGAAGGCGGAUCUCUGGGAUUGUUCUGACGCUGAGGAGCGAAAGCGUGGGGAGCGAACAGGAUUAGAUACCCUAGUAGUCC